rnacentral:rRNA from 1 species
UAAACGAUGUCAACUAGCCGUUGGGUCCAUUUANNNNNUUAGUGGCGCAGCUAACGCGAUAAGUUGACCGCCUGGGGAGUACGGCCGCAAGGUUAAAACUCAAAGGAAUUGACGGGGGCCCGCACAAGCGGUGGAGCAUGUGGUUUAAUUCGAUGCAACGCGAAGAACCUUACCAGCCCUUGACAUCCUCGGAAUCCCAUAGAGAUGUGGGAGUGCCUUCGGGAGCCGAGUGACAGGUGCUGCAUGGCUGUCGUCAGCUCGUGUCGUGAGAUGUUGGGUUAAGUCCCGUAACGAGCGCAACCCUUGUCCUUAGUUGCCAGCACAUAAUGGUGGGAACUCUAAGGAGACUGCCGGUGAUAAACCGGAGGAAGGUGGGGAUGACGUCAAGUCAUCAUGGCUCUUAUGGGCUGGGCUACACACGUGCUACAAUGGGCGGUACAGAGAGUUGCGAAGCGGCGACGUGGAGCCAAUCUCAGAAAACCGUUCGUAGUCCGGAUCGCAGUCUGCAACUCGACUGCGUGAAGUCGGAAUCGCUAGUAAUCGCGAAUCAGAAUGUCGCGGUGAAUACGUUCCCGGGCCUUGUACACACCGCCCGUCACACCAUGGGAGUUGGUUGCACCAGAAGUAGGUAGCUUAACCUUCGGGAGGGCGCUUACCACGGUGUGGUCAAUGACUGGGGUGAAGUCGUAACAAGGUAGCCGUA